GCCUGAAUGGCUUAGUCGGUUAAGCGUCCGACUUUGGCUCAGGUCAUGAUCUCGCGGUCCGUGAGUUUGAGCCCCACAUCAGGCU
rnacentral:tRNA from 1 species